rnacentral:rRNA from 1 species
UACGAAGGGGGCUAGCGUUGCUCGGAAUCACUGGGCGUAAAGGGUGCGUAGGCGGGUCUUUAAGUCAGGGGUGAAAUCCUGGAGCUCAACUCCAGAACUGCCUUCGAUACUGGGAGUCUUGAGUUCGGGAGAGGUGAGUGGAACUGCGAGUGUAGAGGUGAAAUUCGUAGAUAUUCGCAAGAACACCAGUGGCGAAGGCGGCUCACUGGCCCGGUACUGACGCUGAGGUGCGAAAGCGUGGGGAGCAAACAGG